CCAACAUGCUGGGAUCGGAGAGCCACAAGUCCUGUUUCCCAUUUCAUUGACAUUUGUCUUUGUCCAAAACCCUACCACCGUAUACUGGUGGCUUCCCAUAUCACCAAAGAAUCUUAAUUUGGAGGCAUAUUUUGAUGAAAGUUGUCCUUUGACACAUACUUACGUCAACACAAGAUCAGAGUCACCUUGUGCCAACUCCUGUCUCUUGAUGGGCAGUUGAGGACUAAAGCUGCUUUAACUAUUGCAGUUAAAUCAUUUUGAUCUUUGAAUCAUGUUGUAAUACCUGUUUAAAAUAUUUGGUGAAAAUAUUUGGAAGGUGUGCUUCAAAGAGGCCAAGUAAAGGGCGUGGGUGUGCAACCUGCGGAACUCGCCCCAGCAGAAACCCCGGGGGCCAGGUGGAUGCGUGCUGAGCUGAGGUGUUCAGAUCCCACCCCAGUCUUUGCAGCUCACAUCCCUCUGUGGAACACUGUGACAUAGCGCCACGUGCUGAGUAUCUGAGAUUCAUAUGAUAUGUAGUGUGCUCCUUUUAGGUAGACAACAUGCUUUAACCUGACAUUACCCAGAGGAAAACUUAGGGGGAUCACAGUUAUGAACUGAAUGUGUCCCCCAAAAUUCAUGUGGAACCCCUAACCCUUUGCUGUGGCUGUGUUUGGAGAGGGGCCUCCAAGAGGUACUGGGGUGAAGGUUAUAAGGGUGGGGCCCUGACCCACUGGGAUUGGUGUCCCUGUGAGGAGAGACCCCAGGGUGCUUGUGCUCUCUCCGCCCCAGGAGCACUCUCUGGGAAAGGCCGCGCUAGCCUCUGCAAGCCGGGAAGGAGUCUCACCAGAAACAACCAGUGGGAACCUGAAGCCCUCCGAGCUGUGAGAAACAGAUUUCUGUUGUUUCAAGCCCCUGAGCCUGUGGUGUUGUCACAGCAGCCUGAGCAGGCUGCGACGGUAGCUAAGGGUAGUUGGUAAAGAAAAAAGUGAAUUUUCCUUGUUAGGGUGUGAAGAGGCCUUAUUGAAGGGCCCACCCCAGUGGGGUGUUGCAGUAGGGGAGAGAGACGGGGGUCAGUUUCAAGUACAGGGAUGGGUGGGAGCUGGCAGCCCGGAGCAGGGCAGGGCCUGUGGACAGAAAUUCCUCAGAAGAAACAUCAGGAGUCAGGGCACUUUCACAGCGCAGGGUGGGUCUCCCCAGGCAGGCUCAGCAGGAUUUGCCCCUACGGAGCCCGCCCAGGACAGAGCCAAGGUCACAGCCUGGUCCGAGAGGGAACUCAAGAGGAGUGGAUACAGCUUGGUCCAAGGGAGGGUCUUUGUCAAGAGCCAUUUGUUUUAUUUUACAGGGAGGAAACGCAGCCGAGUCAGCUUCUCCAACUUGAGGCCGACACUCUUCACUGUGCGGACAAGUGACUCACCAGAUAAAGCCACACACGCCAUUCUUUUAACCUUCUCUCCUUUAAAAUAAACUCCGUGUGGCAGAGGUUUUAUCUCUCUGCUCUCCUGGAACAGAGCCAGACCUCUGGCCGGGCUGUCAGUACUUGCGAGAUGCUCGCUGGCCCCAGGACACGUCAGCAAAGAUACACAGAUCCUUACCAUUGUGUGACAGCUGCCUGCAGGAUUCAGAGCAUGACGUGCUGUGCAGGGUUACAGCGCAGAAGCCACAGGCUGCACCUCAUCGCCCGGGUGUGCAGGGGGCUGUGCCAUGAGGCUGUGCAGUGCGCGCCGUGAUGUUCACACAAUGACGAAAUCCCCUCAGGACACCUUCCUUAGCACCUUUCCUGUCUAGUGACUGAGGCUGCUAACUGGGCCCCUGGGAGUUUGGCACUCAGCACUUUCCAGUGAGCGACGGAAACAAUGAACGUUCUGAUCGGGCUGCUCUGGCUGGCACAGGUGAACCACACAUGUUGUGCCCAGUAUUUCUUGUUCCCACAUCAUCAUUGUACACUGCUGAUCUACUGUUUCUCUGUCAAGCCGGAGGAGAUCACAUCCAGAUCAUUAAAAAUGUUUGCUGGCCGGGCGCGGUGGCUCAA